GAUGAACGCUGGCGGCGUGCCUAAUACAUGCAAGUCGAGCGAAUGGAUUAAGAGCUUGCUCUUAUGAAGUUAGCGGCGGACGGGUGAGUGACACGUGGGUAACCUGCCCAUAAGACUGGGAUAACUCCGGGAAACCGGGGCUAAUACCGGAUAACAUUUAGAACCGCAUGGUUCGAAAUUGAAAGGCGGCUUCGGCUGUCACUUAUGGAUGGACCCGCGUCGCAUUAGCUAGUUGGUGAGGUAACGGCUCACCAAGGCAACGAUGCGUAGCCGACCUGAGAGGGUGAUCGGCCACACUGGGACUGAGACACGGCCCAGACUCCUACGGGAGGCAGCAGUAGGGAAUCUUCCGCAAUGGACGAAAGUCUGACGGAGCAACGCCGCGUGAGUGAUGAAGGCUUUCGGGUCGUAAAACUCUGUUGUUAGGGAAGAACAAGUGCUAGUUGAAUAAGCUGGCACCUUGACGGUACCUAACCAGAAAGCCACGGCUAACUACGUGCCAGCCGCCGCUGUAA
rnacentral:rRNA from 1 species